UACGGAGGGGGGCUAGCGUUGUUCGGAUUUACUGGGCGUAAAGCGCACGUAGGCGGAUCGAUCAGUCAGGGGUGAAAUCCCAGAGCUCAACUCUGGAACUGCCUUUGAUACUGUCGAUCUGGAGUAUGGAAGAGGUGAGUGGAAUUCCGAGUGUAGAGGUGAAAUUCGUAGAUAUUCGGAGGAACACCAGUGGCGAAGGCGGCUCACUGGUCCAUUACUGACGCUGAGGCGCGAAAGCGUGGGGAGCAAACAGG
rnacentral:rRNA from 1 species